rnacentral:rRNA from 1 species
AGAGUUUGAUCCUGGCUCAGGAUAAACGCUGGCGGCGCACAUAAGACAUGCAAGUCGAACGAACUUAAUUGAGAGCUUGCUCUCAAAGCGGUUAGUGGCGGACUGGUGAGUAACACGUAAGCAACCUGCCUAUUAGAGGGGAAUAACAGCGAGAAAUCGUUGCUAAUACCGCAUAUGCUGUGAGUAUCGCAUGAUACAAGCAGGAAAGGAGUAAUCCGCUAAUAGAUGGGCUUGCGUCUGAUUAGUUAGUUGGUGGGGUAACGGCCUACCAAGACGAUGAUCAGUAGCCGGACUGAGAGGUUGAACGGCCACAUUGGGACUGAGAUACGGCCCAGACUCCUACGGGAGGCAGCAGUCGGGAAUAUUGCGCAAUGGAGGAAACUCUGACGCAGUGACGCCGCGUGCAGGAAGAAGGUUUUCGGAUUGUAAACUGCUUUUAACAGGAAAGAAAAAAAUGACGGUACCUGUUGAAUAAGCUCCGGCUAACUACGUGCCAGCAGCCGCGGUAAUACGUAGGGAGCGAGCGUUAUCCGGAUUUAUUGGGUGUAAAGGGUGCGUAGACGGAAAUGCAAGUUAGUUGUGAAAUACCUCGGCUUAACUGAGGAACUGCAACUAAAACUAUAUUUCUUGAGUAUCGGAGGGGUUUGUGGAAUUCCUAGUGUAGCGGUGAAAUGCGUAGAUAUUAGGAAGAACACCGGUGGCGAAGGCGGCCUGCUGGACGAAAACUGACGUUGAGGCUCGAAGGCGUGGGGAGCAAACAGGAUUAGAUACCCUGGUAGUCCACGCGGUAAACGAUGAAUACUAGGUGUUGGUGCCCCAAGGGCAUCGGUGCCGUCGCAAACGCAAUAAGUAUUCCACCUGGGGAGUACGUUCGCAAGAAUGAAACUCAAAGGAAUUGACGGGGACCCGCACAAGCGGUGGAGCAUGU